GCAGAAACUUAGGUGACUUGCGAAUUUCCCUAUGUUUGAGGGAUGUGUGGCUGCGUAUUGUUUCUCCGCUUACCUAAGGGUGUUGUGUCCUUAUGUUAGGGGUGCAUGUGAGCGUUACUGGGCCGGAGUUGCAACAUAUAUUUGCGUAUGUGCGUGCUUGACUAGGCUGCAGUAUGUGCAUAGAGUAAGUGUGGUCUUUUAGGUAGUAUCCGAG